AUUGAACGCUGGCGGCAUGCCUUACACAUGCAAGUCGAACGGUAACAGGUUAAGCUGACGAGUGGCGAACGGGUGAGUAAUGUAUCGGAACGUGCCCAGUCGUGGGGGAUAACUACUCGAAAGAGUGGCUAAUACCGCAUACGACCUGAGGGUGAAAGCGGGGGACCGUAAGGCCUCGCGCGAUUGGGGCGGCCGAUACCAGAUUAGCUAGUUGGUGGGGUAAAAGCCCACCAAGGCGACGAUCUGUAGCUGGUCUGAGAGGACGACCAGCCACACUGGGACUGAGACACGGCCCAGACUCCUACGGGAGGCAGCAGUGGGGAAUUUUGGACAAUGGACGCAAGUCUGAUCCAGCCAUGCCGCGUGCGGGAAGAAGGCCUUCGGGUUGUAAACCGCUUUUGUCAGGGAAGAAACGAGUUUCUCUAAUACAGAGACUUAAUGACGGUACCUGAAGAAUAAGCACCGGCUAACUACGUGCCAGCCGCCGCAGUAAUAC
rnacentral:rRNA from 1 species